AAGGCACAGGCCCGACAAGCAAAGUAUAACAACCUGCGCCGCAAGAAAGAACAGUACCAAGAAGGCGAACUUGUCUGGGUACGUUCUCAUCCACUGUCUCGGGCAGGGGACGCAUUUAUGGCCAAGCUAGCUCCCAAAUGGCAAGGGCCAGCCAAAGUCAUUAAACAACUAAACCCUGUUAACUACAAAAUAGCUAUGCUAAACGCACUAGAUCAACAUGGUACAUAUCAUGUUCAAAAUAUUAAAAGAUAUUAUGGCUUAGUGAAUUCUUAAACAAAGGGGGAGGUAUGUAACAGUUGUUACUGCCAAUUCCCAACCCCGACCACUAAGUGGCAGUAAUCUUAUUAGAAGGGCAAUUCUCAACCUAAAAGGGGAACCAUGUGGUAAUGGAGAUGGUUUGGAGAAGCACCACAUUGUAAUGUGCUGUGCUAAGGAACCUUAUUGAGGAACUUGUUUGUUCUAAAGCUCAAUAAGGUUUUUUUUAUUUCUUCAUUCUGGUCUGGAAGAUUAUCUUUGUCUCUAUUCAAUUGUUGUAAAUGUUUGUGUCUUGAAUCAACAACUUGCUGGUUGGAUGGACUGUGGGAAACAAGCCCAGUAUUCACAAACUAACUGGAAAGGAUUUCAUCUUGUAUUGGACCCAACAAGGACUUCUAUAGACUCUUGAUGAAAUUAAUUAUAUCUACAAAGGCCCGGUGAGAUCUAUCUAAUUAUUAAAUUAUGGACUGAAAGACUCAAUGAACUCUUCCAAGACUUAUAUUCAAUGAAUGGACUUUAUAGUGGCAUUUGAGAUUAUGAUUUGUGUUUUUCAUAUGUUCUGAUUUUGAUGUUUAGUAAAAUGAGUUAAAGCA